GAUAAACGCUGGCGGCGUGCCUAACACAUGCAAGUCGAACGCCCUUAGCAAUAAGGGAGUGGCGGACGGGUGAGGAACACGUGGGAAUCGACCCUGGGGUGAGGAAUACCACCGGGAAACCGGUGACAAUACCGCAUAGGCUCUCUCACGAGAGCAAAGCUGGCAACAGCGCCACAGGACGAGCCUGCGCCCGAUUAGCUAGUUGGUGAGGUAAGAGCUCAUCAAGGCGACGAUCGGUAGCUGGUCUGAGAGGACGAUCAGCCACACUGGGAUUGAG
rnacentral:rRNA from 1 species